UGCAGUCGAGGGGUAAUCACACUUUCGGGUGUGAACGACCGGCGCACGGGUGCGUAACGCGUUAUGCAACCUACCCACAACUGGGGGAUAGCCCGGAGAAAUCCGGAUUAAUACCCCAUAAUGCAGGGGUACUGCAUGGUACUAUUUGCUAAAGAUUUAUCGGUUGUGGAUGGGCAUGCGUCUGAUUAGUUAGUUGGUGAGGUAACGGCUCACCAAGGCGACGAUCAGUAGGGGGUCUGAGAGGAUGAUCCCCCACACUGGUACUGAGAUACGGACCAGACUCCUACGGGAGGCAGCAGUAGGGAAUAUUGGUCAAUGGGCGGAAGCCUGAACCAGCCAUGCCGCGUGCAGGAUGACGGCCUUCUGGGUUGUAAACUGCUUUUAUCAGGGAAGAAAACGGUCAUGCGUGACAGAUUGACGGUACCUGAAGAAUAAGCACCGGCUAACUCCGUGCCANCAGCCGCGGUAAUACGGAGGGUGCAAGCGUUGUCCGGAUUUAUUGGGUUUAAAGGGUGCGUAGGCGGAUUAUUAAGUCAGUGGUGAAAGUUUGCGGCUCAACCGUAAAAGUGCCAUUGAUACUGGUAGUCUUGAG
rnacentral:rRNA from 1 species